UCCAGACUCCUACGGGAGGCAGUAGUGGGGGAUAUUGCACAAUGGGGGAAACCCUGAUGCAGCGACGCCGCGUGGGUGAAGAAGCGCCUCGGCGCGUAAAGCCCUGUCAGCAGGGAAGAAAAUGACGGUACCUGAAGAAGAAGCCCCGGCUAACUACGUGCCAGCAGCCGCGGUAAUACGUAGGGGGCAAGCGUUAUCCGGAUUUACUGGGUGUAAAGGGAGCGUAGACGGCGAUGCAAGCCAGAUGUGAAAGCCCGGGGCUCAACCCCGGGACUGCAUUUGGAACUGUAUAGCUAGAGUGUCGGAGAGGCAGGCGGAAUUCCUAGUGUAGCGGUGAAAUGCGUAGAUAUUAGGAGGAACACCAGUGGCGAAGGCGGCCUGCUGGACGAUGACUGACGUUGAGGCUCGAAAGCGUGGGGAGCAAACAGGAUUAGAUACCCUAGUAUA
rnacentral:rRNA from 1 species